AGGUUAAGGGCCUUGAGCAACCAAUGCAGUUCACUAAAGCAACAAGUAAAUCUACUGCUGAAGAAGGGUUUUUGGUACAAAAGAAUGUUUGAAAUAAGAAAUUCGAACCUGCAGACAGCUGAGGCUGAGGUCGAUCUACUUGGUGAUGAGGUAGAUGCACUUUUGUCUGUUCUUGGAAAGGUAUAUGUAGCACUUGAUCAUUACUCACCAGUGUUGCAACACUAUCCCGGGGUUAUGGAAAUUCUAAAACUGGUUCAAAGAGAACUCCAAGGUGAAACAGCUACAUCAAGGUGAUUCAGAAUCUGGUUGAAUGUCUAAGAUGAUUGCUUGCUGGUAGAUUUAUAAGCCUCUCUGAUCCACCAUUUACGCUCUCAUUCUGGUAAUUUGUCAGAAUUACCUCUGAAGUUGGUCGUCUAUUUUGAGUUUAUGUUCAGUUGCUGCAACUAAGAACAUUCAGGCUCUUUCUUAUUGUUUCUUAAAGCAGUUUUUUCGUAAAAAAUUAAAAAAUUUGUACUAAAAAGCUGCUUUAAGAAGCAGAAAGAAAGUCGUCCCAAACGAAUCCUCAGUCUCAUGCCCAUUCUUUCAUUCAACUUCUACAAUAAAGCUCAGAUGUUAUCAGCUCUUCAGAGCAAUGCAAAGCAGCAAUUUCUUGUUUAUUUUUUGCAGAUCAGUGUACAGUAUUAGUUCAAUUUCUUUGGCUCAGAUUAUGUUAUUCUGAAGUAGUUGAAGGGUAGGGAGAUAUUUAUUGAGAUUUCUGUGAGUUAUUGAACUGUGGUGGUUCAAAGCUGAGAGAAUCUGUAGAGCUCUUCUUUGGUUGUAAAAAUGAAAAUGUGGCUAUGUAUUUCAGAUAUAUGUAAAUGGAAAUGGUUGCCUGCUUUAUUUAUCUA